AGAGUUUGAUCCUGGCUCAGAAUGAACGCUGGCGGCGUGCUUAACACAUGCAAGUCGUGCGCGAAGGCGGCUUCGGCCGCCGGAGAGCGGCGAACGGGUGAGUAACACGUGGGUAAUCUACCUGGGAGCGGGGGAUAACCUGGGGAAACCCGGGCUAAUACCGCAUACGAUGGUGGGGCGAAAGCUCUGUCAUGAAAACUGGCCUCUGCUUGCAAGCUAGUGCUCCCAGAGGAGCCCGCGGCUGAUUAGCUAGUUGGUGGGGUAACGGCUCACCAAGGCGACGAUCAGUAGCCGGCCUGAGAGGGUGAUCGGCCACACUGGGACUGAGACACGGCCCAGACUCCUACGGGAGGCAGCAGUGGGGAAUAUUGGACAAUGGGCGCAAGCCUGAUCCAGCAACGCCGCGUGGAGGAUGAAGGUCUUCGGAUCGUAAACUCCUGUCAGACGGGACGAAGGUCUGCGGGUGAAUAGCUCGCAGGUUUGACGGUACCGUCAGAGGAAGCCCCGGCUAACUCCGUGCCAGCAGCCGCGGUAAAACGUAGGGGACAAGCGUUAUCCGGAUUUACUGGGCGUAAAGCGCCCGUAGGCGGCCUGCCAAGUUGGCUGUGAAAGCUCCCGGCUUAACUGGGAGAGGUCAGUCAAAACUGACAGGCUAGAGGCUGGAAGAGGCGAGCGGAAUUCCCGGCGUAGUGGUGGAAUGCGUAGAGAUCGGGAGGAACACCAGUGGCGAAAGCGGCUCGCUGGUUCAGCCCUGACGCUGAGGGGCGAAAGCGUGGGGAGCGAACGGGAUUAGAUACCCCCGUAGUCC
rnacentral:rRNA from 1 species